rnacentral:rRNA from 1 species
ACGAACGCUGGCGGCGUGCUUAACACAUGCAAGUCGAACGGAAAGGCCCUGCUUUUGUGGGGUGCUCGAGUGGCGAACGGGGGAGUAACACGUGAGUAACCUGCCCUUGACUUUGGGAUAACUUCAGGAAACUGGGGCUAAUACCGGAUAGGAGCUCCUGCUGCAUGGGGGGGGUUGGAAAGUUUCGGCGGUUGGGGAUGGACUCGCGGCUUAUCAGCUUGUUGGUGGGGUAGUGGCUUACCAAGGCUUUGACGGGUAGCCGGCCUGAGAGGGUGACCGGCCACAUUGGGACUGAGAUACGGCCCAGACUCCUACGGGAGGCAGCAGUGGGGAAUAUUGCACAAUGGGCGGAAGCCUGAUGCAGCAACGCCGCGUGCGGGAUGACGGCCUUCGGGUUGUAAACCGCUUUCGCCUGUGACGAAGCGUGAGUGACGGUAAUGGGUAAAGAAGCACCGGCUAACUACGUG